CCCUAGCCCCGAUUGCAACGGAAAUCCUUUUUUUUUGCGGAUGGAGUUUAGCUUGGCGAAAAAAGAUUGCAGUGGAAAGCGGGAAAUAGC
rnacentral:sRNA from 1 species